rnacentral:rRNA from 1 species
AUUGAACGCUGGCGGCAGGCCUAACACAUGCAAGUCGAGCGGAGCGGCGGACGGGGGAGUAAUGCCUAGGAAUCUGACUGGUAGUGGGGGAUAACGUCCGGAAACGGGCGCUAAUACCGAAUACUAUCAACUGAGACUAGGUCGGAUUAGCUAGGCGGUGGGGUAAAGGCCUACCAAGGCGACGAUCCGUAACUGGUCUGAGAGGAUGCGCAGUCACACUGUAACUGAGACACGUGCCAGACUCCUACGGUAGGCAGCAGUGGGGAAUAUUGGACAAUGGGCGAAAGCCUGAUCCAGCCAUGCCGCGUGUGUGAAGAAGGUCUUCGGAUUGUAAAGCACUUUAAGUUGGGAGGCGUUACCAACAGAAUAAGCACCGGCUAACUUCGUGCCAGCAGCCGCGGUAAUUC